rnacentral:lncRNA from 1 species
GGGAGUCUUGCGCUCGUUUGGUGUGUUAGUUAUAACCUCCCUUUUAUAAAAUUCAGUCAUCAACUGUGAUUCAUGAAUUAACUUUCAGUCAUAAUCAGAGCUGUAUGUCACUUUUGUAACUUCUGAAAAUGUUGAUCAACUCAUGUUGUGUUCCUCCUUCCUGACAGCAAAAUCAAAACAUGAGUUUUUUCAUUAAGUUCUCUUAUCAAAGACUCAUUUCUUUUACUUUCUCUGAAUCUGGACACAUUGAUGCAUUUCUGCAUGACAUGACUCUUUUGGAAUGUUCACUGAAUUCAUGAAUCAUUUCACAGAAUACUAUUUUUGGAUGAAGGUCUGGAACAGAUAUUAUGCAAACCCUGCAACUCUACUGGUGCACGCUGCCUUGCAGGGAAUGAAGUUACGCCAUCAAAAUAUUCAGACAAAUAUUGACAACUAGCUGUGCAAACUGAGCGUUUCCUCUGUGAACUUGACCAUGAUCUGACCAUGCUCUUCAGGUGCCAAAAGCUUCUUCAAGACUCAAGGUCCUGAAUAACUAGAACUCAAGAUUUGUUCCAUAUUUUAGAAAAUGUCGUCAUAUGUAGAGCAUGGAAUUAAUAGGCACCCCUGCUUUUCUGCCCUUCCACUGGUACCUCCUGUUGCUUGUUACAGUUAAAGACACUUCACUAAUGUGAUGACUUGGCAACUGUCUUGAACUUUCCUUAAAUACACUGUAUUAAAAUGAAAUAUGUAGAUUUUGAUCCUACUUUCACUGUUAGUGAACAACAUAAGCUAGAGUAGUUGAAAUCAGAGUGAUUAGCUUGGAUGAAGACAUGAUUACCUUUCCAACCACCACCUCUAAUUCCUGCUCCAUCAUCUCAAAGCUAAGACAUCCUGCAACAUUACAAUAAGUUGCGGAUAUUUCUGGCCAACAAACCUGAAUCUGUUAGCAGACCGGCAUUAAUCAUUGUGGGUGUCAUGUUAUUACUGGAAAAUUGUGGAUAAACAGGCAAACAGGCAGAAAGCUCACAAAUUCAUACUUCAAAGGACCUUGGAAUUCAUAUUCAUAAUUUGUUUCAGGAUAAAUGCAGCAAUACCUAGGCAACAAUCAUAGCCUUAUUUGACCUUAGACAAUUAUGGCAUCACAGUUCCACUCACCAAAACUCAUAACAUAAGGAAAGAUGUCUCAAAAGACUUGGAAAUAUCAGCAGGAUAGUUAUGAUUCAUUUAAUGUGCAAUAACCAAAGACAAGCUAUUGACCUCCUGCGUGUGUUACAGCAAGGAAGGGAGGGGUAGCUAUGGCAAGGCAGUAAAAUAACGUCAUGCACCUUGCUCUCAUUUAUUAAUAGUACCUGGAGAUCUAAACAUUUUAUAUUACACUGAUCUAGGCUCAGAUCCUUCAGUCACUAAUUUUAUGCAAAAGAGUAUUAUUGCAUUAACAUUUUUAAUGCAUUUCAUAGAAUCAUAGAACAGCUUGUGUAGGGAGGGACA